AAUGUGGUCUCGUAUUGUGAUUUCUUUGGUAAUUAAUCAUAUGAAUUAUAGUGUAAACGUUUUAACGUAGGUACAGACUCUGAAUUAAAUGCAGUUCUUGGUGUGUGAUGGUUAACGAGCAGACAUGAGGAAGAUUCGUUUGUCGGAUGCAGAUUAUGGCUUGUUUGAUGAGGAACUUUCCCCAUCGGAGUUCAUUUUCUUCAACAAACACAAGGAGACAUUUUGUUGCAUGGUCAAGGAUCAGGGGAAGGCAUUCUGGACUCGGUUCACAAUUGUGUUUCGCAGCUACACAGUUCGCCAUGGAAUUAUCCGAGAUAUGCCUUUUCAU